rnacentral:rRNA from 1 species
UACGGGGGGGGCAAGCGUUGUUCGGAAUUACUGGGCGUAAAGGGCGCGUAGGCGGUUCGAUAAGUCAGCUGUGAAAACCAUGGGCUUAACUCAUGGCCUGCAGUUGAGACUGUCGGGCUGGAGUGUGGGAGAGGAGAGUGGAAUUCCUGGUGUAGCGGUGGAAUGCGUAGAUAUCAGGAGGAACACCGGUGGCGAAGGCGGCUCUCUGGACCACAACUGACGCUGAGGCGCGAAAGCUAGGGGAGCAAACAGG